rnacentral:lncRNA from 1 species
CAGAGGCAUUACUUUAUUCAGGCAGGGACUAGCCAGGCAGGGCCACAGCGUGGCAGGGAUGGGGGGAGUCAGGACAUGGGAGUGCCGUCACCUCCAUUAGCCACAGGCCAGACGGCCCAGGAGGGCGUGCUACUGCAGUGAGAUGGUGCGCUACUGCAGUGAGGUGGCGCAGGGNUGGUGAGCUGGGCNACAAAAGCCAGCAUGUCACCCUCCCUUGGAGAAGCCUCUGGGCCACAGGCCUUUUCCAGCUGAGGGGAUUCGGAGGGAAGGGGACCUAGUACUAUCGGGAUUCAGCGGACUUAGCCUAUGAGAUGGAGCAGGCAAGAGAUUCCCUUUGCAGGGCGGGAGGUUAUAUUCCUACAGCCUCCAUUCUUGGAGUAGGCUCCUUUGCCACACCCCUUUUCACCUUAGCGGGCCAGGCCUCUCAGCCAGAAACCGUAUGUCAAGAGAUUGUAAGUUAAGAGUGCUGCUCCUGAGCAGGGAGCGGGCUUGGAGGCAUCCUUCCCCUCCCCGCACCCCUAAGUCCCCAGUGCCGGGCAGAUGGUCUUUUCCUAGUCCUCCCCUGAGGACCAGGACUCUCUAUCUCCUUCCCUCUGAGUGAACUUCAGGAACUGACCCUGGCCCAGGUGAACAGGAGCCCCUGCCCAAGAGGUCUUCAGGGCACUCCCCUCCUCCUCCUGAAAGGGGCUCCCUCGGUCUCCCUCAGAGACCAGCGGCAUUCCUUGCCCCACUUCCUCAGACUGCUCCAGCCCGUUCAUCACUCCCCCAUUCACAUGCUGUGACUUCCCCUCCAAGUUGGGACCCUGGCCAUUAACACCAAUGAUGUCUGCCCCUGGGCCUGCAUCCUCCAUCCCACUGGGGAUCUCUAGAGGGCCAGGGACUUUGUCCUCCCUCUCCAAGGAAACAGGGUCAGACUCUUCCUCUGAGCCAGAAGGCUCAGCACUGUCCUGGGACUCCGUUUCCAGGGCAGUCUUGGGGGCACCAGCCACUGCACCCCUCAAGCUGUCAUCCCAGGGGACACUGACACUCACAGAAUCAGACUCCAGGAAUUCCCCUCUCUGGGAGCUACUCAGGGCCUGGAGGCUGCCAACAGAAGACCCUGGCCCCCACCGCCCAGCCCCUGGCUCCCUCCCCUCCUCCUGAUCCUCCUCUCCCUCCUCCCCACUUUCUUCCUCAUCUGCAAACCCAUCGGACUCCCCAUCUCGAUCCCAGCCCUCCUUUCCAGUCUCCCCUUGAGGGGGUGGCCUCUGCUCUCCAGUGGGGUCCCACCUGGGGGAGGUGGGGGACCUGAGGUAGAAGCCCAGGGGAGUGGAGUCUGGAAGGGUCUCCCCGAGCUCAUCCUCCUCGCUCUCUUCUCUGCUCUCCUCCCCUUCCUCCUGGAGGCCCUCGGGGAUCUCCCCAGAACCCAACUCCUCCUGCUCGCUCUCUACUUUCCCCAGGGCUUCAGCCCUCCCCUGCACCCCCCAGCUAGCCUCCUGACUCCCUUCAGCCUGAGGCUGAGGCCCAGGGGCAUCUUCCAGGAUCGGGGUGUACGUUGGGCUGGGGGAGACCAGCACUGGUGGUACAUCCUCCUCAGCUUCCUCUGACCCCAGAGGCCAAGGUGAAGGGGCAUCACUUCCAGUGUGGCCCAGGGUCUCAGCAGGGAACGCCUCCUCUGCUCCCCUGGGGGCCUCAGCCUCUGACUCCUCCCUACCCUUGGGAGGCUCCCAAGGGUCUCUGCUCUUCCCAGGCAGCUCGGAGAACUCUGUCCCCAGACCACCUGCCUCCUCUAGGUCCUUUCUAGGCCCUUCCAAGCCCUGAACCCUCUUUGCCUCCAAACUCUCCUCUUCCAGGGGUGGUUCCAUCACCUCUUCCCUGGUCAGAUGGCCUGGGUCCUCCAGCCCUCCCACCCCCUGCCCCGGGCCUGGCUCAGCUCCCGCAGCAGACUCACCCAUGGCAGGCUCUGACCCCAACAUGACCUCUGGGGAGGCUUGGUCACCCCCUGGGGCCACAUCAUCUUCCACCAGGGGCUCUAUCGCCUCUGGCAGCCCCUGGGGAGCCUGGAGGCCUGGGGCCACCACCUGUUGUGAUUGCCCUUCAGGGUCCUGGAGGCCCUCAGCCCCUCCCUUCACACUGGCUCCCUCAACCAGGCCUCUCUGCUCUUUGGGCUCAGGGCUCUCUGGGUGCCCCUCGCCUGGGAUCCAGACCUCCUCUGUGGCAUUCAGCUCUCCCUGCUCUACCACCUCCUCCAUCCCAGUGAAGCCAUCCUGCUCCCUCAGAUUCAGCUCUGCCUCAUCCUCAUUUUCCACUCCAGCCAUCCCAGGAGGGCUUUCCAGAGCCAGUUCUUGGUCCUACUCCACCGUAUCUUCCCACCUCUGCACAUCUGCAGACUGCAGCAGCUCCUGUCCCUCCUCCUCCACAGACCUCAGUGACUCGUGGUACUCUCCCUUUCCCAGGUUCUCUUCCUCUUCCAGAUUCCUUUGACUUUCCUUGUCUACCUCCUCUGGAGAUCUCAAAUUCUCCAGGUUCCAUGCUCCCAGAGAUCUCAAUGAUUCCUGAUUCUCCUCUUCCAGGAGUCUCAAUGUCUCUUGGUUCACUUCCACAGACUCCAGUGGUUCUUGAAUUUCCUUUUCUAGAGGUUUCAUUGUCCCCUGAUUUAUUUCUUCUGGAGUCCACAGUGGUGCUUGAGUUUCUGGAGAUUUCAGUGUUUCCAGGUUCUCUUGUCCUGCAGACUUCAGUGAUUCUAGGAUCUCUGUUUCUAAAGAUUUUACUGCCUCUACACUCUCUUCUUUGAGUGACUUUAAGAACUCUUGAUUCUCAUUUUCAAGAGGUCUAGCUAUCUCCUGGUCAAGAGACUUCAGUGGUUCUGGAUCCACUUUUUCUGGGGGUCUUAAUGUCAUCUGAUCCUCUUCCCCUAGAGACCUCCGUCGCUGUUGAGUCUCUUUUUCAAGAGUUCUCAAUGUCUCUUGGUCCUGUUGUUCUAAAGACCUCAGUGAUUUGUGAUUCUCUGUUUCUAGAGGUCUCACAAUACUCUGGUCCUCUUCUUCUAGAGUCUUCAGUGGCUCCUGGUUCUCUUUUUCUAGAGAUCUAAAGGCCUCUUUGUUCUCAUCUUCAAGAGACCUCAGGGGUUCCUGAUUCUCCUUUGUCAGAGGUCUCAGUGCCUCCUCAUCCCCUACUUCUGGAGAUCUCAGUGGCUCUUGAUUCUCCUUUUCCAGAGCUGUCAAUGACUCUAAGUUCUCUUGCAGAGAACUUACUAAUUCUUGAUUUUCCUUUCCUGGAAAUAAAAAUGUCUCUAGAUUACCUUCAAGAGAUUUCAUUAGUUCUUGAUUCUCCUUUUGCAGGGAUUGCAAUGUCUGUGUGUCCUCUUUUCCUGUAGGCUUAAGUUGGCCUACAGCCUCUUUUUCUAGAGGUCUCACUACCUCCACAUCCUUUAAUAGCUCUUUAUUUUCCUUUUCUAGACUUUUUAGUGUUUCUAAGUCUUCUUCUAAAGACCUCGGACAUUCUUGAUUCUCCCUUUCUAGUGUCUCAUGGCUCUGGUUUUCCAGAGUCUUCAGCGACUCUUGAAUCUCCUCUCCCAGAGACUUCAGGGUUUCUUUUUCCAAAGGAACCUGGGAGUCCUGGAUUUCCUUCCUGUUUACAUCCUCUUCUUCCCAUAUUUCCUGCUGCAAGCUGCUUACCACUUUGCCCUCUAUGGCUGUUUCUUUCUCUACCAACCCCCAGAUUUGCCCUUCACCUUCCCCUUGGCAUAUGCUGAACACUCUAGACCCACCGGAUUCUCCAUCCUUAGCCUCUAAACUGGAGUGGUCAGGGCUGAGGGGUGGGGCCAAGGAGGCAUGGUCCUCUGGGGACUGGCCUGUACUGGCCUCUUGCCGCUGGCCCCCAGGCUCCUCUGGUCCAGGCAGGACGCUGGCAGGAAUGGCCACCCUGGCUUCAGCCCGCAGGGGCUCUGGAGCCUGUUUCCUCCCACCCUGUGUCUGGAGCAGAGAGAGAGGAGCAUCCUGGGCUCUGAUCUCUGCAUCUGCAGCAGGAGAGGGUGCCUGAGGUGUGGGGGGGAUGGGGGUGCUGGCCAAGGUAGGGGUACGGGCCUGGAGGAAUUCUUGGUUCUUAAGAAAGGCUGGCACAGGUGUCUCAAGGGUAGCAGGCAAGGGUGAGGGGAGGGAAGUUGGGCUCAGGACUGGGAGCAGAGAUCCAAGACGCCGGCCCUCUGGGGUCCCAGGGAAUUGCAACUCCAGCUUGGGGUCUGGAAAGGCAGAGGGGGAAGAAACAGCAUCAGUAUAUCACUGGCAAUGAGGGGAGCCACAGAGCAGCCACCGCUGGCAAGAGUAUCCAUGCGCCUGCCCCUGGCGCCCAUGGCUGGGCUGAGAGCAUGCUCACUGACACUGGAGGCCACGGACUUGAAAUUUAGAUUGGUGCCUCUCGGGAAAGAUAGGUCUGGGUAUGAAGAGCAAAGCAGGGUAGUUUCUGGGGGAACUUGGCCCCUCCUCUUACCCUGAAAGCUGAGGGAAGUCUUGGAGCCACCGCCAGGUGUUUGCAGCCGGGAGUUCUC